UACUCCAGACACACCUGGUGGGGGCGGGGCCGGCCGACGAGCGCACGCACCGCGCGAUGAAGCGGCUGUAUAGCUCCUCCGCCGGGCCGAAUCGCUGCUCCCGGAAGUGCGCAUGCGCGGCCGACAGCAGGUACUGCUGAUCACUAAUUUGGCUCCUGAACCACUGAGGUCUGAGUAUCACUGGCCUACAGAUUACCCCAGAAGACUCACAGUCUAAUUUGAGACAAGGCACAACACUGAAGCCUCAAGCCCCAGCAGGGCAGCUGGCCGACCCCACAAGCUCUGGGGUCUGAGGCAGCCACACAGCGGAAGUCCGGGAUGGAUGCCAGCAGAGGUGGUAGGCUCUGAGGGGGGAAGAAGAAAGAGUAGAGAAUGGGUUACCUCAACACUGCAGCUAGCAAGCUCAGUCCGACGAUAAGACACUGGCCCCAGUCCAAGGUCACGGCGCUAGAGGAAAAGUCUGAAGCUGCCUUUCUCUCUCACCCAGCCACAGCCAGCCAUGAAAAAAGAAAAAGUACACUGAACCAGGGCUGCAGAAAUGGAAAACACCAGCGAGAUGACGAGGCGGGGGAGCAGAGAUUUGUGUCCCUCGAGCCGUUGUGUUUUGGGAAUGCGGAGAAGACCACAGAAACCCAGUUUGUACUGGCACAAAGAGCACCAGGAACAGAGGUCGCGGAAUGGAACACCCCCAAAGGAGCCCAGGACUUAAAAUCCUCCUGAGAGCUGGAGCAAUUCGGAGAUUGGCAGCGGAUCCUGGAUGAUCUGUGCACACAGGACAGAACUCCCUCCCACCCCUCCCACCCUCUUCUUCUUACGUUACACCCAGGCUUGGCCAGCCUUGGGUAGUGCAUGAGUGAGUAUGAAAGUGGGUUAUGGCUUGGAACACUAAUGCUUUCUUCCUUCCUCUGAGUGACGUGGGGAACCCCUCCUCCCCCAGCACUCUCCGCUAUUAUUUUAUUAUUUUAUCAAUAAAGCUUUAAAACUCAGUUACGUAGUGUGCUCACUCAUCUCCUUCCUAAAGAUCCUACGGCCUCAGCCUGAUCACCUGACACCCCAGGCAGAUUAGUAACAGAAAUCUGUCACAAGACUAGUGUGAGAAUGAGAGGCAGUGGCCUCCAAAUCACCUCUUUCCCCCUCCAUCUCUACUCUGGCAGCUACAAUGCUCGAAAGACAAAGAAAGCAUCAUUGAACGGGGGUGGUUCCUGGCUGGAAGACUUUUCAGCCAGUACAGAUUGCUGUAAACAAAUGGUGAGACAAAACCUUUUUGCUUUUAAGUUCACUUAGCUUGUUAAGUUAGGCAUUAGCUUGCAUUUUACUCCUUUUGUAACCAGUCCUAACUUUUAUGCAUCAUUACUUGUAAUCACUUAAAAUCUAUCUUUCUGUAGUUAAUAAACGUAUCGUAUUGUUUUAUCUUA